AACCCAUGGUGAGGGCACCAUCUCAAUAAGUCCUUAUACCCCUCCCAUGUAUCAUAUAACAUUUCUAAAUUGAUUUGCACAAAGGAAGAGAUAUCAUUUCUCAACUU
rnacentral:snoRNA from 1 species